rfam:Desulfotomaculum australicum DSM 11792 genome assembly, contig: EJ60DRAFT_scaffold00021.21
UCCGGUGGCUAUACCGGAGGGGAAACACCCGUUCCCAUCCCGAACACGGAAGUUAAGCCCUCCAGGGCCGAUGGUACUUGGGGGCCUACCCCCGGGAGAGUAGGUCGCUGCCGGAA